rnacentral:rRNA from 1 species
GAUGAUUUUAGUGCUUGCACUAAAUGAAACUAGAUACAAGCGAGCGGCGGACGGGUGAGUAACACGUGGGUAACCUGCCCAAGAGACUGGGAUAACACCUGGAAACAGAUGCUAAUACCGGAUAACAACACUAGACGCAUGUCUAGAGUUUGAAAGAUGGUUCUGCUAUCACUCUUGGAUGGACCUGCGGUGCAUUAGCUAGUUGGUAAGGUAACGGCUUACCAAGGCAAUGAUGCAUAGCCGAGUUGAGAGACUGAUCGGCCACAUUGGGACUGAGACACGGCCCAAACUCCUACGGGAGGCAGCAGUAGGGAAUCUUCCACAAUGGACGAAAGUCUGAUGGAGCAACGCCGCGUGAGUGAAGAAGGGUUUCGGCUCGUAAAGCUCUGUUGGUAGUGAAGAAAGAUAGAGGUAGUAACUGGCCUUUAUUUGACGGUAAUUACUUAGAAAGUCACGGCUAACUACGUGCCAGCAGCCGCGGUAAUACGUAGGUGGCAAGCGUUGUCCGGAUUUAUUGGGCGUAAAGCGAGUGCAGGCGGUUCAAUAAGUCUGAUGUGAAAGCCUUCGGCUCAACCGGAGAAUUGCAUCAGAAACUGUUGAACUUGAGUGCAGAAGAGGAGAGUGGAACUCCAUGGUGUUAAAG